rnacentral:rRNA from 1 species
GACGAACGCUGGCGGCGUGCUUAACACAUGCAAGUCGAACGGAAAGGCCCUGCUUUUGUGGGGUGCUCGAUUGGCGAACGGGUGAGUAACACGUGAGUAACCUGCUCUUGACUUUGGGAUAACUUCAGGAAACUGGGGCUAAUACCGUAUAGGAGCCCCUGCUGCAUGGUGGGCGUUGGAAAGUUUCGGCGGUUGGGGAUGGACUAGCGGCUUAUCAGCUUGUUGGUUGGGUAGUGGCUUACCAAGGCUUUGACGGGUCGCCGGCCUGAGAGGGUGACCGGGCACAUUGGGACUGAGAUACGGACCAGACUCCUACGGGAGGCAGCAGUGGGGAAUAUUGCACAAUGGGCGGACGCCUGAGGCAGCAACGCCGCGUGCGGGAUGCCGGCCUUCGGGUUGUAAACCGCUUUUGCCUGUGACGAAGCGUGAGUGACGGUAAUGGGUGAAGAAGCACCGGCUAACUACGUG